AUACGUAGGUGACAAGCGUUAUCCGGAUUUACUGGGCGUAAAGGGCGUGUAGGCGGUCUUGCAAGUCAGAAGUGAAAUUCCUGAGCUCAACUCGGGCGCUGCUUCUGAAACUGCAGGACUUGAGUGCUGGAGGGGAUAGCGGAAUUCCUAGUGGAGCGGUAAAAUGCGCAGAUAUUAGGAAGAACACCGGUGGCGAAGGCGGCUAUCUGGACAGUAACGGACGCUGAGGCGCGAAAGCGUGGGGAGCAAACAGGGUUAGAUUCCCUGGUAGUCCACUCCGUAAACGAUGAAUACUAGGUGUAGGGGGUAUCGACUCCCUCUGUGCCGCAGUUAACACAAUAAGUAUUCCGCCUGGGGAGUACGGCCGCAAGGUUGAAACUCAAAGGAAUUGACGGGG
rnacentral:rRNA from 1 species